GUGGGUGAAAUGUAUGCUUUUCAAUUUAGUGGAGUUUCGCUAUCUGAAUUCCACUUUUGCUUUACCUGGGAUCGGUUUAGAUUCUUAUCUUGCUGUGGGGAAGCAUGGUAGGUGAAAUGUAUGCUUUUUAAUUCGUAUAAUUUCAUAUGUUCUACUUGUCAUAGAAAUCCAUUCUAAAGUGAGCUACCCUUGGGGCACUGUUGUGGCAUUUUAACCAUUUACACGAGGUGAAUUGUCAAAACUAGUUUGGAGACUGGGCUAACGUUUGUCCCUCAUUUUUCAAUAUAAGAUUGCAUCAAGCGCCUUUUAGUGAAUAUGACCAUCGUAUAGAUUGACUAUGAGAACACUUAGAACUGGAGAAGAACGAGCCCUGUAUUCUGUUGCAAUUCGGAAAUCUCAUUAAACGAAUGGGAAGUGCUUGAUGAACUUUUUAUCGUUAUAUAUAUGUAGAUAGAUUUCUAGAUGGGAUUUGAUAAUUAUGCAUCUUGUGCUUGACUUGUUCCUGGAUAUACUGUUGAUUUGUGGAGAAGGGACUGUUGCGAAGUAAUGGGAGAUUGGGAACUAAACCCUUUUAUAUUAGCGGGGGUGUUUAAUGUGGUUCUGAGUACCUGUGGAGGGCUUAGGUGCUUGACGACAUGUUAAUUGGAAUUGUCAAAUCAUGUUUUCUUUUUUUCUUAUUCCUUUCACCUGUUUUUUUCUGUUGAUAUCUUGUUACGUAACAUGUAAAGAGGAUCCUUGUCACUGAGCCUACUUAUUGGCUAAGGCCCAGCUGUUGUUAUUGUUACAUUCCCCAAUCCCAUAUAAUAUAUUGAAUGAUCAUCAUGUAUUUUCCUGCAUUGCUAUCCAUGUUUAACCUCAAUAUUGUUCAAUUAUUGAUGUUGACCUUCAAGUUACUGUCAAAUACUACUCAAUGCUGAUGCAUCAUCUUGCUUCACUGUACCCAUUCCUCGCUUUGGCAAAGAUCUAUUAAGGCCAAUGAACUCACCCAAUGUAGCUUGUCUUGGACAAAUUAAGAAAACAUUAUAGAGUAGUUAAUACGGUUUAGCUUGUAUGCCAAUAUACUGAAUGCUCAGUUAUGCUUAUAGUGCAGGAGAUCACUGAGUUUUCAUGAAGUGUAUGUCGCAUUGUGUUGUUUACCGGGCAAUGGAUGUUUGUGGGCUUCCUGGAGCAUUGUAGGCGGGUUGCAUUCACAUCAAGGGCCCUUUGAGGAAGCAGAGUACAUAGUCUUGUGUAUACUAUCACUGUAUAUAUCUGAUGGACACAGAUAGAAGCAGCUGUUUCUUUCUUUCAUUCUGUGAGUGCAGGCUAGUUCCAAAACCAAUUUUUUUUUACUCCUAUACCUUAUAUCAGAAGGACCUGUCUUUUAUCCGCUGUUAGUUUAUGAAAGACCCCAAACAAUAUGCUUUUGGUCAGUUUGGCUGAUUUUAAGGAGCAUUAGAGUAGAUCACUGCGGUUGAGCAGCGAAAACUUCCUGUAGCUUUCUUCUUUCUGUUAGACGUUGAGCGAAAGUUGCUGAUAUUUUGAAGAAGGCAGAGCUUGGAUGAUGAUGAAAAUGAUGCAGAUGCAUCACUGUGUAAAUGAUUGUCUUUCCUGAAAAGCCCGCUUUAGGAAUACAAAUCAGUAGAUUAAUUCAAUGACCACAA